UGCGCUGGCGACGGGGCGAAUAAUUUGCGGAACGCUAACCGCAUAAGCAGCGCAGGCUGCUAUAGAAGCACAGGUGCUGUACUGUGUCCCUAUGGGUGCAACAGUUUUAUGGCAAACAAAUUGGUGAUGAGAGCAGUCGGUGACAGCACACCGGCUGCUCUUG
rnacentral:ncRNA from 1 species